rnacentral:lncRNA from 1 species
AACAGAUGCUUCGCUAUUAAAAUAUUUCCCCCCAAUACUGAAGAAUCUUAAACCAGCAACCCUAACAGAGAUUGCGAAGAUUUUCAAAGUGGGGCACCUCGAUUUCUCGAAUCUGUGGUGUGGCGAAUAUCCGUGUUCCUCCUGCUUAACUAGCCUGUUUGCAUCUUUUGACACAUUUUACUUCCGUAAUUUCGGACUGCCAGAGUGUGCAUUCCACGGUUGCCUUUCUGGCUGGAAGGCACAGUUCAUUCUCGAGCAAUUCGUCACCUCCUGGGGGUCUUCUCUUCCCGUCUACAGGAGAGUGUGACUUCAGAAAGAACUUCGGAUUGGCCAAGGCAGGUCUGAUUCUAUUUAUUCUAAAGACAGAGUUGGAGAUGGGCUACCAUUGGUGUUGAUUGAGAUGACAAGCAGUCACCUGAGCCCAUACAGCUGGGUUCACAGAUGUGGCUAGUCUUGCUAGCCAGCUCGCACUGUGGACAUUCUAGGGAACUGACUGCAGUCCUCAUGCUUGGAGUCAAACACUUUAACCACUGCACACGUUUAUGUAAUAGGAUUGACAUAUGAGAAUCAGAGAAAUGAAUGAAAGAUUAGAGUGGGAGAAAGUGCUUGCUGCCAAGCUUGAUGACCUAAAUUGAAUACCUGGAACCUACACGACAGAAAGAGAGAGCUGACUGCUGAAAGAUGUCCUCAGAUCUUCACAUGUGCACAGUGGCACCUAUCCAACCAUGCACAUAGUAUAUUAAAAAUUAUUUUUUAAAAAAU